AUUAGUUUUUUAAUUGAAGGCUAGAAUGAAUGGUUGGACAAGAAAUAAUCUGUCUUAAAUUAAUAUAUUGAAUUUAACUUUUAAGUGAAAAGGCUUAAAUAAUCUGAAGGGACGAUAAGACCCUAUAAAACUUUAUAUUUGUAAGGUAGUAGUAAAUUUUAUUUUAAUUUAUUAUUUUAAAGUAUUUGGUUGGGGUGACAAGGAUAAAAUAUAAAAUAACUGUCUUUUUUUUUUACAGUAAUGUUUGAUUUAAUGAUCCUAAAAAGGAUUAAAGAUUAAGUUACUUUAGGGAUAACAGCGUAAUUUUCUUUAAGAGUUCUUAUCGACAAGAAAGUUUGCGACCUCGAUGUUGAAUUAAAAGUUCUUUAUAGAGUAGAGACUAUAAGAGAAGGUCUGUUCGACCUUUAAAAUUUUACAUGAUUUGAGUUCAGACCGGUGUGAG
rnacentral:rRNA from 1 species